AUGAGGGGCUCCCUGCCCAGCGCGGGGGCCUGUGGGGCACAAGCCCGGGAGAGCGGACCGGCAUCGGCAUCCACGUGCCUCACCCCUCUCCUCUCCCCCUCCCCAGGCUCCCGGAGGAAGAUGAGGACGACCCGGCUCUCAGCUGCGGGGUCCUGGAGGCGGGCAGGCUCGUGGCCGUCAACUGCAGCUCCCGCAGGCCCUGGGUCUGUGCCAGGGGGGCCCAGUGACUCGGGUCCCAGCGGGCUGAGCCUGCGGGGGGCCGCCCCAGGCUUCCAGGCGUCCCCGCUGCACGCCUGGAUACUGGACUUGCGCUUCGAGAAGGUCACGCCCAGGAGGAGACUGAGGGCCGGUGCGCGUCCAGCGCCUGAGGCCACUCUGCUCGUAGCCGUUCUGAGCCCCGCUUUGCUUCUCAUUAAAACAGCCAUUUCCCAUCCUCCCCCGCCUGCGCCGCCCUGCGCUGCCCUGUUUCCGUCUGGGAGGAAGCCAGGCCCAGCAGUCGCAGGAGACCAGGGCUGGGCUCCCCGUGGGUCGCGUGGGUCGCCCUGGGCGGCCGGAGCGCGGGGCCCCCAGGAGGCCUGGCCGAGGCAGAAGACAAGACUUGCGGGCAGCGUGGUAGGCAGAAGCAGCGGCAAAGCCAGGGGCCGGGCAGCGAGGGAGCCAGGGCGGAUGUCAGGUUCGGGCAGCUCUCGCACCCGCAGCCCCUGCGCCGGCACUGAGGGAAGGCUCUGCUCUGUGGCCUGGGACCCUCCCCAGGGCAGGACCCUGUCCCUGCACCUCGUCUGUAGCCACAUUGUCCUCUCUGCAGCCGGACCAUGCGCCCAAGUUCCUCCCAAGGAAACCUUCCCUGGGGCCGGCGUGGUGGCGCCACGGGUUAAGCUGCCACUCGCAACACCGGCAUCCCACGUGGGAGCACAGGUUCAAGUCCUGGCUGCUCCACUUCCGACCCAGCCUCCUGCCGAGGUGCUGGCACUCAGGAGACCUGGCUGGAGUUCACGGCUCCUGGCCUUGGCCUGGCCCCGUCCUGGCUGUAGUCGUUUGGAGAAUGAGCCAACGGAUGGAGAAUCUCUCUCUCUCUCUCUGUCACUCUGCCUUUCAAAUGAAAGGAACCAGCAUUAG
rnacentral:lncRNA from 1 species